rnacentral:rRNA from 1 species
UGGGGAAUCUUGCACAAUGGGGGAAACCCUGAUGCAGCGACGCCGCGUGAACGAUGAAGCCCUUUGGGGUGUAAAGUUCUUUCGACAGGAACGAUAAUGACGGUACCUGGAGAAGAAGCUGCGGCUAACUACGUGCCAGCAGCCGCGGUAAUACGUAGGCAGCGAGCGUUGUUCGGAGUUACUGGGCGUAAAGAGUGCGUAGGCGGCGAGCCAAGUUUGGUGUGAAAUCUCCCGGCUUAACCGGGAGGGUGCGCCGAAAACUGGUUGGCUGGAGUAUGGGAGAGGAAAGCGGAAUUCCUGGUGUAGCGGUGAAAUGCGUAGAUAUCAGGAGGAACACCUGCGGUGUAGACAGCUUUCUGGACCAAAACUGACGCUGAGGCACGAAAGCGUGGGUAGCAAACA